AGAGCCCACAAGGAGCCCUUCGCCGGUUGAAACCCGGUGCUACCGGUAACCACGACGGAGGUGGUGGACGGGGCCGGGGGAGCCUGCAAGGCGCUUUCUUAAGCGUUAUUCCUCUCCGCCGAAGUUUGCCCCGCCGUAACUUCCCACGUGCCGGUUCUCCCCGGCAGCGCUCGCCCGGGAGGGGAGAGCGGAGGUCUGUAACUCAGCCAUGGGAAACCAAGGUUUUGGACUGAAGCAGGGAAUAGGCACCAGGAAUGUUCUUCCAUCAUGAAAAUAUAAAGUAUACAAGGUCUCGCAACCAAAGAACCGGAAGCUAUUCAAUAAAAAGUCAACAGUAUGUCACUGAAAUUCAUAACUUAGCAAGAUCCAGAAAGAAAUGGACUUUUAUAGAGAUCUAAAGUAUCAAAAAUAUAAUAGCAAGUCAUUAAUUUAGGAAUAGUUCAUAAACCUCAUGCCUUGGGUUUUAAACCAAUAUCUAAAUGAUAGAUAUCUGGACAUAUUUUGUACCCUUUUCAGGAGCAUCUAAUCUAGCCCGUGUCCAUGACUGCAUAGAUGUCAAUUCUCAUUUAGUGUACAGUUUUCAGAUGAGUAUUUUUUGCAUUCUAGUAUCUUCAUUUGUACAGGAAUCUUUACGUAUUAUAUUCCUCAGCAUGUCAUUGCAUCAUCAGCAUGACAUAACCAGUUUUUCCUCUAUCAGGUACAGUACUGACUUUGAUUAGAUAAAGAUUUCAGAAUAACCGUUUUCUAAAUAUUUGUUCACUUUAAAACUAGCUCUACGACAUGGCAAAGUUGCUGAGAAUGCUCUUUUGCCCAGCCCUGUCGGAAAGGAACUACAGGAACAACAAACAGGUUCUGCCGCCAGGAUUCAGCUCGCGCAGUGUCGCGAGCAUGAACUCGCACCACGCAGUUGUCCCUUUUAUAGAAAUCGGCUGGAGCUGAGUGACAGCAGCCACGUUUCGCUUGCUCGUUCAGUUUCCCCGGAAGUAUCAGUCAUACGCUUGAAAAUAUGAACAACAGAUUGCCUGUGAGGUAAACAGCGUCCCUGCAAAUUUCCUGCCUAUCAUUACUAGCAGUGAAUUUUUCUGAGAGCAUAUUAUUCAGCAUUCCUCCCUAAGUUUUCUGUCAAUCUGUAUCAGCCUUGUCCCUAAGCAAGACUAUUUCAGAAGGAUCCUGCAAACUUCAUGUUCAUUCAUCCAUAAAGUUUUCCAGCAAAGGAAAAAUAAGAAUAUUAUCAUCAGGCCAGCUUCUUCGGUUCCCCUCCGCCCCCAAGUUAAUGAUACUGGAAUCCUAACCAUGCUAACCAUGGCCAAUAUAGUGCAGCUCCACCCUGGAAAACAAAGCAGAAAAACAGUGUGAAUGUAGGAAUAUGUGAAUAGUAUCUAGUUCAGAGAGAUCUCAGGAAGGAAACUAUUUAAAAAACAAAGCGUGAGGAAACUGCCCAAGCUGAGACUAAAGCUUUUAUUCUGUUUUUACUACAAUGGUAAAACCCCCGAAAAGGAACAGAUGCAAAUUAAGUUUGUGCAGAUUCUGUUCCAAGCAGAAUGUGAACUCUGCAUCAACUGAUACCAAUUGUGACGGUGGUUUCGGGGGGCUAUAGUUAAUUUCUAAGGGCAAGUUUACUUAAGAACGUAAUUAUAUUUCACCUUUGGUAUUUUGUACAAUACAUUGAACAACGCUUGCAGAGUUAGAGCAGUACAACUCUUUCUUUUCUAUUGUGUGGAUGAAUUUACGUGGGUACAAAGCAUUCUUCUAUGAGUGUGGCUCAUUCUCAUACAAGAAGGAAAAUAAGCUGUCCUGAUGCAUAGAAAAUGUGUAGUCCUAUGCUCGUGUCUACUCCAGAUUUGUUCCAGAGUAGGAACCGAUUUACCUGGAGGGUGACGUACUGUGGAGACUGUGCUCCCACACUGGUAUAAGACCAGUACAAUAUUUUCAUUUUCAGUCAAGUGUCACGGUUGUGGCUACUAAGCUGUGGGGAUCCUUUACACAUAGCAUGAAUGGAUCUGGUCCUAAUAAGGUAAAUGCUACAGAAAGAUUUACACUGUUCUAAAAAAUAGCAUCACAGUACUGAACAUUUGUUUGUAUUCAGAUUGUUACUGAAAAGUAUCACGACAAAAUCUUCAGUCACUGUCAAAUUAUUCUGAAUAUGAAAUAAACAUGAGAGUCCAUAUUCCAUCCUGUCUAUACUG